AGGUCUCCACCCUGAAGGAAAAAGAAAGAGUAAGGCAAUUAACCUGAUAACUAUUUUUAAAAAAGACCCCAACUUAGACACAUAAAUUAUCUGCAAAACAGGAUGUUGUGGAAACAAGCAACUCCGUUGGAACUGUUCAACUUUCAACUUAAUUGGAGAGCUAAAGGCCCUCAUUGAGUUACCCUGUGAGGAACUGAUACAAAAUGCUGAUCUGGCUGCUGUCAAGAGGAUGAAAUAGAUUAAGCAAGACAUAGACAAGUUCAGAGGUACUCGGUGUGCAGUGGUGAACAGAAUAGCUGUAUUGUCUGUACUCACGAGUAAUAGGAUUCUAGGAAAAAAUGCACGGCAUGCUCAGAUUUGAAAAAAAUAAAGUUGGGCCUCAGGAAAAAAAAGAUGGAGUGAAUGCCACGUCAGAAAGGAGAAGGACGAUAUAGAAAAGCUCUCUUCUUUUAAAGAGUGUAGGGGGUUCACCCACUAAGGAAGGGAAGUAAUGCAUUUAAAUGUGAUGGUAAACUUUAAACAUCCAUGUUCUUAUAUUUUUUCUGUGGAACUGACGAGUUAGAAAAAGUCGAUCUUGAGAACACUAAGAAGUAGUGGUGGUCAGUGACAUGAUUAUCUAGAAGUUUGAGAAUGCUGCAGGACACUGGGAUGUGGCCAUAUUUAGCAUAGCAUGUACGACAUUGUGCGGCAGUAGGAGAUGAGAGUGAUUCAAAAUAUUAGCCUGAAGUAGCCCCUAGAUCCCUACUACUUGUGAAAGGUGUACGCAGGAUUCAAAACGAUUAUGUUUUUGUCCUGGAAAAGGCUUGCAGUGAAUCAUCACACACCUGGAUUGGGAUGAAGUGUUUGAAACUACACUAUGUAACAGAUGUCCACAAAGUGUUAAAUGAAACAAAGAGCUCCGUUGCACCUCAGUGGUAAUGAGCAAAAGGAACAGAAAGGACCAGCCACAAUUUAGCAGAGACUAGGAAUGAUGCAGAGAGAAUUAUGUUGCCUACUGUCUCCUGACACUACUACAAGGUCAUAUAAACCUUAUAUCCAGCACACAAAAUGUAUCUUAGGAAAAGCAAAUGGAGUGAGAAGAACUCUGUGCAGAUUGCAUCAUUUGAAACAAAUAUGUAAACAUAAAGAAACAGGAUCUCUGGAUAUGAAUGAAUUUACUGGAUUGUUCUGAAUAUACACGUGAGACUGUGGUUGUUAUUUCAUUCAACAGGCUUCUGACAAAGAAGUCGUAGAAAACAAAACAAAAAUAGUUAUAUUCUCUUUAAACAUCUGAGUAUGCAUUAACAAAAAUACAACUCAUUAGACAUAAUUUUAAUUAUCAUGUGAAGAAAUAAUAAAAACCCAGUGGUUAGCCACUAAAGCCUGCAACACUCUUAAUUAUAAAAAUAGAAAGAAUUCCUAAUGCAACUGUCCCCUAGAUGUGUGGCAUGGAGGACAAGUAGCAAUUUUCAAAGAGCAAACUUAAACAUACCAUUAAGUUUCACACAAUUCAAAAUCGUAUUUAAAUGCCUGGUUCUAUUGUAAUGUCAACAAUAUAACUUUUUCUUAAAACUACCUUUUUCAUUUCCAAAUAUUAAACAAUAAUAUUGAUUAAGAACAUUAGAAACAGCUUAAUAGGAUUUUUGCUUUUAUUUUUGUUAUUUUAGUUUUUUACAUUCAACAGUUGGACAAUAUGUUAAACACAGAAUUUGUUUAAAAUAAAGUUUUAUAUCAAUCC